AAAAAAGAUGCUUCUAAAGAUGGGAAGAAAGGGAAAAUUCAGUCUAUGCCAUGUUGGCGAGCAUGGACUAGAAACCCAAAUAAGCCCAAGAAACGAUCUCCCUUGAGUAGAAUGGCAAAAGGUGCUCCAAAGCUUUCACCCUAUUCUGAUGGUAUUGAUCUUCCUUUCUCGGAUGAAGAAGAACAAGAGGAAGAAAAUGUAGACAAACAAAAUUUUAAGCCCCUUGAUGCGUCCAUAACAGACGAGUUAAAAAUGCAUGAAAAGGACCUUCUUGCUUCCCAUGCUGAUGAGUAGGCAAAACAGGAGGCCCUUAAAAAUGAUCAUGAUGCUUUAACUGUUGCUAUUCGAACAUGAUCUUUGGUAUGUGAUGGUGAAGAUGGCAAUGCUAAUGUCAAGGAUAUAAUAACAGAAGAUUUUUCUGUGUUGGCUCCGGGAAAGGAACUUCUAAAGAAUGCAUCAGUGAAGAUAACAUGGUAAGAGAUAUGGCUUGGUUGGGCCUAAUGGAAUGUGCAAGUGUACCCUCUUGAAGCUUCGUGCUUGGGGGAAGAUUCUAGUACCAAAAAGACAUUGAUGUGCUUUUCUUUGAAGAGGACACGGUUGGUGAUGGUGAUAGAACUGCUCUUGAAGCAGUUGUUUCAACUAAUGAAGAACUUUCAAAGCUCCCGAAAGAGGUUGAAACUUUGCAGAAUUCAGCUUCUGCUUUCAGCUGUGAAGAAGAGGGCGAUCAUGACAAUGAUGACGACGCAGGAAAUAAGCUUGAGUUGUACGAAAAAUGGCAGUUCAUGGGGUCAUAUGCUGCUGAAGCUCAAGGUUCAAAGUUUUUACUGGGUUGGGCUUCACAAAGGAUAUACAAGGUUUUCCCACUAAGUCAUUUAGUGGUGGUGGGGAGGAUGAGAAUGUCAUUAGCUAGGAAAAUUUUUGAGCAACAACUCUUUUGUUGCUUGAUGAACACACAAUCCCAUCUUGACUUGAGGGCUGUUCUCUGGUUGGAGUACUUGUGCCGCUGGAAGAAAAAAAGCAUGGGUUGUCUCACAUGAUGGAUUCCCUUAACCCAGUUUUCACUAAGAUUAUUCAUCUGCAUGAUCUGAAACUUCACUUCUACUGUGAUCUGGAUGAGAAGCCGAUUAAAGCUGCCAAAAGGAGAGGGAAUUGGGUUCAGCCAAAGUUUGUUGCAGCUAAGGAAAAGAACAAGGCCAACGGCAAGGUUGACGAUGAUGAAAGCCUCAGUUGUGGCUCCUAAGAAGUGGACGGAUAACAGUGUGGAGUUCCUGUUUCCUGAACCUACUAUCACUAAGCUCACAUCUUCACUUUUUGCAACUUGUUGAAGUCAGCUUCAGCUAUCCAAAUUGGGAAGAUUUCAAGCUGUAAAAUGUUAACUUCGGUGUUGAUGUGGGGUCUCGGUAUUGCCAUUGCUGGACCUAACAGCGGGGAAGUCUGGGAAAAGUGUGGUUAUAAUCAGUACAACAGAUUCCCUGUUCCUACUCCAGUGAUGCACAAUGAAGUUUCCUGAAAGGGUCUUGACAGUUUGGCACAAAAGUUUCUAAUUUAAAAUGAAAUAAGGUACCCUGAUCCUGAAGUGUUCAAAUCUGAGGCCUGAAAAUGGCAUCAUACUGCAGGAAGGGUACUUGACAUCUAAGCAUUUAAAAUACGAAAUAUACCAGCAAGCAAUUGUAUUGUGUCAUACUGGUAAAGUUUUCAAGGUUAUAAAAGGGAUAUGACUGCAUGUCAUGCGCAAUGAACAUACAUUACAUGUGGUUUAGGGCAUAUUGGUUGGCAAUGCUGUCACAAAAACCCAUUUAUACUUAUAAUCAUUUUGUGGUUGAGAACU